rnacentral:rRNA from 1 species
AGCGAACGCUGGCGGCAGGCCUAACACAUGCAAGUCGAACGAACCUUUCGGGGUUAGUGGCGGACGGGUGAGUAACACGUGGGAACGUGCCUUUAGGUUCGGAAUAACUCAGGGAAACUUGUGCUAAUACCGAAUGUGCCCUUCGGGGGAAAGAUUAAUCGCCUUUAGAGCGGCCCGCGUCUGAUUAGCUAGUUGGUUGAGGUAAUGGCUCACCAAGGCGACGAUCAGUAGCUGGUCUGAGAGGAUGAUCAGCCACAUUGGGACUGAGACACGGCCCAAACUCCUACGGGAGGCAGCAGUGGGGAAUCUUGCGCAAUGGGCGAAAGCCUGACGCAGCCAUGCCGCGUGGAUGAUGAAGGUCUUAGGAUUGUAAAAUUCUUUCACCGGGGACGAUAAUGACGGUACCCGGAGAAGAAGCCCCGGCUAACUUCGUG